GCGCUCGUAGCUCAGUCUGGAUAGAGCAUCGGACUACGAAUCCGAGUGUCGGGGGUUCAAAUCCCUCCGGGCGCGCCA
rnacentral:tRNA from 1 species